rnacentral:tRNA from 1 species
GAGGGUAUAGCUCAGUGGUAGAGCGCGUGCUUAGCAUGCACAAGGUCCUGGGUUCAAUCCCCAGUACCUCCA